GUGCACAUUUCACUGUCUUUUUUCUUGAUGUCAAGAGAAAAGAUACUUCUGAUGUGCUAAACAGACCUUUGGAGGUAAAUUAGCAACAUGUCUAAUUUAGCCAUUGCUGUCAGUCACCUUCAGACAAGU